ACAUCACUUUUUAAGGUUAAUAAAAAAUCAAAACUAAUGAGGAUUUUUUUUUAAAAACCCGCAUUUUCGGGAAUUCUUCGAAUUGGGGGAAUUUGGGGGAAAAGUUGCCGUAACCAUCUGGCAACCCUUGAUAAAGUCGCUGUUUGUCAACUUGAAUACCAACGUUGUCAGAGGCUGUUCACGUGUGCAGUGAACAACAGAAUUUUAUCACAAGUUUUUCGAAUAAGACAAAAAAGCAAGAUGGUCAGAUUAAAACGGUGCUCUGAGAUGAGUGUGUUGAAAAAUAUCACUAUCAGUGUCGAAGGCUUGCCAGAGACAGAAGUGUGGGUCGCACUAAUGAAGACGGCCGUUGCAUUUAAUUCUUUAAAUCCGUUUCACGACGGAUUAUAUUACAAGGACGAAAUUGCGAUCAAGGACAUCCAUAGAAACCAGUUAAGCCUUCAACUAAGCAGAGGCAGAAAUGUAUUGUUAAAAUUCGGUUCUCCAGGAACAAUGGAGGAAUUUUGCAAAAAUAUUAACUAUAUGGCCCCGUGUCCUUCUCCAGUGUCGUCACCCUCACCAUCUUCACCAAAAAGCACGCCCUCUCUAUCUCCACCAUCAAGCUCAUCAUGAGCAAAUAAUAGAU